rnacentral:rRNA from 1 species
CUCACCAGGUCAGGACACGGUAAGGAUUGACGGACUGAAGGCUCUUUCUCGAUUCCGUGGAAAGUGGUGCAUGGCCGUUUUUGGUUGGUGGAUCGAUCCGUCUGGUUAAUUCCGUUAACGAACGAGACCUCGGCACUCCGAAUAGCGCGGCGGACGUCGCGGCCUCCGGGCCGUCUUCCGCACGAGCUUCUUAGAGGGACCGUCCCCCGCCGGGGAAGGAGGUGCGAGGCAACGACAGGUCUGUGAUGCCCUUAGAUGUUCUGGGCCGCACGCGCAUUACACUGACGCGUCCAACGGGUGACUCCCGACCCGAAGGGGCCGGGGAAUCCGCAAGGCGCGUCGUGAUGGGGAUUGAACGUUGCAAUUGUUGUUCACGAACGAGGAAUUCCUAGUAGGCGCGGGUCAUCAACCCCGCGCCGAUUACGUCCCUGCCCUUUGUACAC